AGCUGCUGGAUAUUUUAAAUAACUUCACAAGUAAAUCAUUUGGACUGGCCAUCAAACAGAUAAAGCCUAGACAUUUUCAAGUGCAAAAAUGCAGAGCUCUCUGGGUUACCUUCUGCAGAAAUACAUUGGAAGUUACAAGCACACUGAAGGAAUGCCAGUUUGUCUCUACUGGAGCCAGCAGUGUCUGCCAGCUCCCUGCUCAGCACAGGAGUAGCCAGAGGGCUGGGAUGGAUGCAUCGGUAAUGCAAGAUGUGGACUGUUUGUUUGGAGAACUCAAAUGAAAUGAGGCAGUAUGAUCAAGAUAAAGCUUUUAAUGAUGUUUGCCUUAUUAUAGUUAUGAAGGCUGUCUAUUGAUUCUUCUUCUCAUUUACUCAAAUUGCUAAGUCGUUUUCAAGUUCUUCCUACAAUUAACAUGAAUGAAGCUGCCUGUUGUCUGGCUAGAAAUCUUUGCUACUCAAUCUUCAUUCAUUAAAAGCUGUCAUGAACAGUGGUCAGGCACAUCAGAGGUGCUUAAAAUGUAUACCAUACCUAUAUAGUAAAUGAUAAAUAAAAUGUUUUAGAAAAGACUAAUUUAUUUUAGAAUUUAAUUGGUGCAGAACCUGACAACUUUUCUUAUGACAACAGAACAGAGUCUCAGUGUAAUUCGAACAAUAAAAUGGAAUGCAAAAUUU